AUCGUCGUCGUCCGACUGGGUCGCCCCCUCGGAGUUACAGCGGGUGAGGAAGUCGGAGCGCGUCCGGGACAUUCGCGCUUUCUUUUUGGGGACGGGGCGGCCCACCUGCUACCAGGCAACCACAGGGACAUCAGUCAUGUUGUUAUCCGGGUCAUGUGAUCGCCUCCCAUUGGUUGCUGAUACUAUAAAGGUGCGCAUUAGACAACUAUUAUAACAGACUGAUAGCUCUCAUUCACCUGAGUCGAGCCAGGUGUCCCCUGCCCAUCGCCUGCAGCUGCAUCACAGUCCUGUACGUCCGACAGUAGCGGCUCCUCUC